rnacentral:rRNA from 1 species
CGCAGGCCUAACACAUGCAAGUCGAGCGGAAACGAGUUAACUGAACCUUCGGGGAACGUUAACGGCGUCGAGCGGCGGACGGGUGAGUAAUGCCUGGGAAAUUGCCCUGAUGUGGGGGAUAACCAUUGGAAACGAUGGCUAAUACCGCAUAAUAGCUUCGGCUCAAAGAGGGGGACCUUCGGGCCUCUCGCGUCAGGAUAUGCCCAGGUGGGAUUAGCUAGUUGGUGAGGUAAUGGCUCACCAAGGCGACGAUCCCUAGCUGGUCUGAGAGGAUGAUCAGCCACACUGGAACUGAGACACGGUCCAGACUCCUACGGGAGGCAGCAGUGGGGAAUAUUGCACAAUGGGCGCAAGCCUGAUGCAGCCAUGCCGCGUGUGUGAAGAAGGCCUUCGGGUUGUAAAGCACUUUCAGCAGUGAGGAAGGUGGUGUAGUUAAUAGCUGCAUUAUUUGACGUUAGCUGCAGAAGAAGCACCGGCUAACUCCGU